rnacentral:lncRNA from 1 species
CAUCUAUCUCAAAUUUUUUUACAAGAAAAUCAACAAAGCCUUUUUUUUGUAUUGAAAGAUAUAUGUAUUUUUUCUUGUAAAGAUGAGUCAUAACUUAACUAAGAGAAAAAUAAUUAAUUAAAUUGGACAAUUUGAACUUAAACUUCAUGUAAGAAUUAAAUGAAAGAAACUGAAUGAGGGAAAUGAAAGUCUCAAACAUCUUUACAUAUUUCACCAGUAGCUAAAUACUUUUAGUAGAUGUGUCACGACCCAAAAAUGGACGUGAUGGCACUCGUCUUAUCCCACCAAGACAAGUCAGCCUAAAACUCAACCAUUACCAUAAAGUGCGGAAAUAAAAUAUAAGUAACUUAAUAAGACCCCCCAAAACCUGGUAGUCACGUGUACAAGCCUCUAAAGUAUUACAAUUGAUUCAAAAGAAAAACUCAAGUCUCAAAUGAACUUGUUUCUAGAAUAGAACAAGAUCAUAAUUAAGGAGAAGAAAGUCUGCUGCGAUGGAAAUAGCUACCUGACAAAUCUCCAAGAAGCCUUGGAAAAGAAGAGAAUGACAAGUACAACAAAAAUCCAGGCUCAUAACCUACAAAAAUUUGUAGAAGCAAGGGGUGAGUACCAAACCACACGGUACUCAGCAAGUAAACCUCUAAACACAGGAUAAGGGGAUGAAAUAUGGGUACUCCUACCACCCCCAACUGAACCUCCACAACUACAAUCUGCAUUAAAAUCAACCCAACCUAACAGCUCACAGUCUACAUAGCACGUAUCUCAACAACAACACUUAGACAAAUUACAUAUCCUCAACAACAACACUUCAACAAAUUACAUAUCCGCUAUAACAAGCUCAAUAUUGAUCAAUCACAAGUUCAACAGAAAGGCAAUCAGAAGAUCAGCAAAACACGAUAUCAAAUUCACUAAUGAUAAGUAUGUGCAAUGCAAUGGAAUGCAAUGUCAAGUAUAAUGAUGCAUGUCUGACCUAGUGAUACACACCCGCUGUCUCUUAGUCCUGGACCCAUGGGGGACAUAUCUAUCCAUGCAUCUGUCGCGGCGCAUGACACAAUCCUCGAUAAUAGUAACCAUCGCGGCGCGCGAUACGUCCCUCGAAAUAUAGUAUCCAUCGCAGCGUGCGAUACGUCCCUCGAAAUAUAGUAUCCAUCGCGGCGCGCGAUACGUCCCUCGAAACUGUACAUCUUCUUAAGUAGUCAUUCUUUCUCAAUGCACAUAACACUUGUCACAACCAAUGCCUCAUAAUAAUGCAGAUGACAAGUUCACACAAAUAAUGAGAAGAUGACCAUUUUCAUAACAUUGCACAAUUCAAAACCACACAAACAUGAAAUCACAUUAACAAUGAUUCAACAAUCCUUCAUCCCUUUCUGAACACAUCACACUUAAAUAAUUAAUUACAUUGCCCUUUUUUUUAUCCCUUUUUUUUCAUCAUUAGAUUAACCAAUGUGGACAAGUGAACCCAUCACCAAUCUCGUUACUCCCAAACAUAUACCACAAGAAAAUACACGCAUUUCAUACACUUAACAAGAGUUUAGAAAUCCAUUUGCCUCAACCAAUCGAGAAUUCACUCCAAGAUUUGGGUUUUCCCCUUUUGCUGAACUUUCAACUCAAUGAAUCUAUUGACAUCAAUAAUCACGAUAAGAUUUUGAAGCUUACAACACCCAAAUUAAUAUUUAAGUUUUCAAAUAUCGAUGUUAUUUAGUAUGUUAAUUCUUAUAUUUUUCCAAAUUUUAAGCGUAGGUUUAAGUCUCAAUUCCUCCAGUUUGAUGAAUUUAAUUAUAUUCAUAUAAUAUAAUGCACAUACUACUUAACAACAUAUCCCAUCAUCUCAAAACUUGUACCAUAACAAAGUUAUAAUUAAUAAAAAUAAAUUAUAGAGCACUCGGACCUAAUUACAAAAUCGGCAUUUACUUACGUAAAUAUAACAAUCUGCAUAUUCAUAUAACCUAUAAUUUUCCCCACCCUUAUCCUCUAAUCAUUGGCAUAUAAUUAGUCUCAACCCAUUAUAAUAAUAUUACAAAUAUCUAAUGUUAUAUAAUAAUAAUAAUAAUAAUAAUAAUAAUAAUAAUAAUAAUAAUAAUAAGAAUAAGAAUAGUACCAACACUAAUUUUUUCCAAAAUAGUUAUAACAAUAUAAUAAAAGAAAGGCCCAAAUUAUUAUCAAGUUACAUACAGUAACUUAAAUGGAGAAAAUCAAACACCUGAACCCCUUUUCAUACGUAUAAACCUCUUGAGCAUUGUUUUUUUUUUAUUUCAAUACCUCGAAUAAAAAGAAUUUGGUCAUCAAUUAAUGACGACUUUUAGAUCUUAUCCCCACCAAAACUUCCAAAACAAACUGCUAGACUCCUUCCGAUUUCCUUAUUUAACAAGCAUAUUAUAAAACAUAAUAUUAGAUUAGCUACUUAUCGAUUCAAAUAAACAUAGAAAUAAAUUCUUAUCGAAGAGCAUUCACUGCUCACUCCAUUUUUUUUAUUUAUUUUACUCACAUAACUCAAUCAACUGGAUAACAAUAAUAUGAUCUGGACUAGUAUAAAGAUUUAAGAGUGAUUACUAAUUACCUGAAGAAAAAUUCAUUUUUUUCCAACCACUGGAAGAAGAAGUUAUUCUCACCCAACCCUUUUCUAAUUUUUUUUUCCUCGGCGGCUGCGUGAACUGCUUCUCUCCACUACAGCCAUCAACAUUGCCCUUAUAUUGUUUUUUUUAUUAUUUAUUUAUUUUUCUUUUCUAUUAUUAUUAGCAACAAAAUAAUCUUUGGUUAAAUAUGAAAAUAAUUUCACCCAUUCUUAUAAGUCAUAAUUUAUUUAUAAAAAUUAUUAAAAAUUAUUAAUAUAAGAGUAACGAACAUAAGGAAGAAGAAGGAAGAAUGAACGACGUUACCAAAAUCCUGAGGUAUGAUCUUCUAGAGUCGGUGUUUGUCUCUCUAAGUGGGCUCUUCUUUAAGACCAUUCCAUUCAAGAAUAACUACUAAGAACUGAUCCUUCCAAUUAAACUUGAAAAAUUUACAAAUCACGAGUGAUUAUCAACCUAUAGACUAAUCUAUGAACCAAAUUUAAAAUGAAACCCUCUGGACCAUAACUUAAACAUCGUGACGAUUCUUUUCUCACAUAACCAAGAGAACAUUCUGAAUCAGUAGUGACUACAACAAGAAGUUAGUAUCAUCACAAUAUUUUUUUUUGAUCGCUUUUCUUAGAACAAUAUUUCCACAAGCUUAAGUUAUAUAUAAAAAAAAAAUCUUUAGACAUCGAGUACUCAUUAAGGGGAUAAUCAAACUUAUCUAAUCCAGGGAAGAACAAGAAUAAAGUAAGCACCCAAAGACCGAUAUAUUCUUGGAUGCAGAACUUUUAACAACACUGUUGUAUAACUGUAGCUAUUCACAAGAACUCUUCUAUAAGUUAUCAUAGGCAAGGUCAUGCAUAUAUAAACAACAAUAAACUUUUACUUUCCCAAACAACAUUGAAAUAUGCCAUAACUGAAGUGACCAAGUCUUCACAAAGAUGCCAGUCUACCAUGAAGACAAUCACAUGAUCGGUACACCCGAUCCACCACUAGAAAUUCAUCCAUAGAUAUGAAAACACGUCUAGGUAUAGGUAGCGAAUCACACUCCAAACUAUAUCCAAAACGUAGUUGAUGGUCAUAUAAGAAUACACAGAACCAAAGUCGAAUAACACUAGAUACUUCUUUCAUAGUGUCCAUGUUAAACAUUUACAUUCAUAUGACUCUAUCUCUUUAAUUUUUGUAGCUACCCACAAUCAACUAGUCUGGUGCUUAUUAUAAUCGUAUACAUACUUGAUUUAUAAAACCUCACAUAUUCUUAUAGUACUCUACUGAAGUUAAUUUUUUUUAUACUAACAAAUAUCAAAAUCACACCGGUCAUUUGCCUUACUCUCAAACCAUCACUAGUAUCAAAGUCUUCCUAGCAAGCACAUUGUAGCCUCCAAAUUUUUUGAAUUAUGACCCCCUUUCUUUCUAUUUAAGCAUGCGUUGAUAGAUAUGGGUACACACCCAAGGUUGAUAACACUAAUUUCAAAUCUGAUAUUAUUUCCUCCUCGACAUAAAACUAUUGAAUUACGUUCAAUGUAAUCUCCAUACAAUCUUUCACAUGCAAAGGUUUAACUAUCAUUCAAACCAUCAUAUAUCUCGUGCCAAAACUUAGAGAAACUCUCAAUCAAUCCAAUAAUUCGGUAUAAUAUAAGCUCAUAACCUCCAUUCACCAUCAAAUACAUAUAUAACACAUCAUAACAAUCUAAAUUGUCCCACAACAAAGUAGUUUCAAUCCCUUCAAAUCCUCAUUAAUCAUGUAAAAUUGUAGGUUUACACCGUUUAACAUCAAUAAGUUACCUAUUAUGAUUUGAACAAUCUAACUUUACAUAACCAAGUAGAAUCCUUCACACGCAGUUGCUUGUCACCUGAUCAAACUCAAUCCUUAUUUAAGUCGUUGAUAACCCCUAGUAAGUCUGUACCGAAUCAGUUCAUAUCUCAUAGUAAUAUCUUAAUUAAAAUGUUAAAAUCCAUAUAACCUUAAAUUAUGAACCAAGGAUCUUACGAAGGGUCUUACUCUUUUACCUUUCUUAAAUUCUUCUCAUAAUGCAAUUAUUAAAUAUUUUAAAUCGUUAAUAUAUCAAACUUUUUUUUUGUCUCGCUUACUUGCUUACCUGUCUUAUCCUUUGACCAACUCAUUAUCUUUUUACAUUACCCUCUAACCAAAACAUUGCAUGAAACCUCCCUCAAGUAUAACAAUCAAAAGUAAUCAAAUUUACUACUCAAAUUAUUUUUAAGUCCUUCCAAAUGCUUCAUACUCAAUGUUAUCGAUUAUUUCUUACUUUACCAAUUCAUACUUUGACAAAACACACUAGCACAAAUCUAAAUUCACAAUUAAAAGCUUGAAUUUAUUCCAAACAUGUAACACAACCCCUUUAUCUAUCAACAUUAACUCAUAUCUUGAAGAUUUUUAUGAAUUCAUGUAUCUUAGCUUACAUUGAUCGCCUCUCCAUCAAUCAUAUCAUAUCCUUUGCCAAAACUUCAACUGUACUCAUUACCAACUUAUAAACAUAAAAAAAAUACAUAUAAUCACACUCAAGUUGAACAUCUAUAGACACUCCUUUCUCAAGUUACCCAAUAGUUAUUUUUUUAUUUAAAUCAAUCAGUUGAUCUGGUGACACUAUAUAUAAUCAUAAUCAGGGCAAAAAAUGAAAUCACAUAUCUUUGAAUUUAAUUAUCCACUCUUUCUGACAACUUUGACCCUUACAAUCUGAGUAAUAUCCUUAUUCUCACCUCCUUCUAAAGGUUAAACUACAUCCCACUAAUUCAUUCCAUUCUGGCUCUAGCUCCUUUCAAUUCUAUUCGAGUGACAUCAUAAUUCCUCAUAAAAAUUACCAUACAACCAUGCUAGUCACAAACAAUAGUAAACCAUAACUCAGACAUUCGAAAGUCACCCUUAUCAUACAAAAGUCUUUUAACCAACAAAACUUAUCAUAUAGUUGCAACCUAAUCAUCAUCCAUCACAAACUCUAGUUAUCACUAUGUAUAGUCAUCCCUUAUCACUACAACAAAGUCAACCUUGUCAUGACAUGACAUCUCAAAAUCAACUAUACCAAUCGAAUUAAACAGACUAACUUAACUUUAUACAUAUUUUCUUACAAAAAUUUUCAAUUGUUGGGAUUUGCUUUACAUAUAAGAUAGUCAUUCCAAUAUUAAUUCACUCAAUUGGGGCUUAUGAUAAAAUAACCGCUGCUCAUUUAGAAUCCUAAGGAUACACAUCAUAACCUACUCACACAUUAAUAUUAUACCAAAGAUCCACCACUAAAAGCUUUCUUAUAAAUAAUGCUUAACUCAUUCGUUCAUAGUAACAAGCUAGUUGGUUUUCAAAUAUGAAUGUAACAUAAAAUCUUAUAAUAUGAGUAUAUGAUAAAAUCGAUAGUUCUUAAGUAGUUAUUAUUCACACUUAACAUCGAAUUAUCAAUUUUUAUAUAACACUAGUACCACAUCAUGAAAUUUCAUUAGAUCCAUCACUAAAACACAUCAUACCCCCUGAGAAGAUUGUACUCAAAUCUCACAUAUUUCUAUAAGUUGAGUGGUUGUAGUACAUUACCAAAUCCAUUUGAUCUCUAAUCCAAUCGUUAUGCACUAUUUCAUAGAUUAGUUCGAUAAUAGAAGUAACACUCUCCAUAACGCUAACCAAGUAAACAUCUAUACUAAGUAGUCAUACCAUCAUUUUUUUUAAAUACACAAAACCUAUAAAAUCGUAAUACUUCUAACCUCCAUUGGUCCAUCAGUAUUCCUAUCAUCUUCUAAGCAACCCAUUCACAUUAUGAUAACUUUACAAAUUGUAGUUUCCAAAGUUGCAUGUCCUCUAUCCAGUCACCUUUUUAAUGACUUCACUUUUACUCGUUAAAUCACUGUAGCUAUCUUAUAUAUCGCAAAAGUACUAUUCAUUUUACUAAGGUAACUAAUCUUACACAACCCUUUCAAAUUGUUGAAUAUUUUAAAUCUAACCACACAUGUUUUUCAUAAUACCAUAACUUUCAUAUUAGUAAUAGGUCUAACAUUCAAGAAAAUACAACAUGCCAAAAAUUCACUUGAGGAACUAUGCACGACUCAUCAUGUAAAUGAGAGAGAACAGAAUGAAGCGAUAAAAAUCGAAUCGGACCAAGUACGCACAAUACAGAUCCAAGAAAUGAAGAUAUUUCCUAAAAGUCACUACAGCCUCUCGAAGAUAGGUACAGACGUCUCCGUACCGAUCAUCGAGACUCUAUUUAGACUCGACUUGUAAACACAUGAGACCUACGAACCUGGAGAUCUGAUACCAUUUUGUCACGACCCAAAAAUGGACGUGAUGGCACUCGUCUUAUCCCACCAAGACAAGUCAGCCUAAAACUCAACCAUUACAAUAAAGUGCGGAAAUAAAAUAUAAGUAACUUAAUAAGACCCCCCAAAACCUGGUAGUCACGUGUACAAGCCUCUAAAGUAUUACAAUUGAUUCAAAAGAAAAACUCAAGUCUCAAAUGAACUUGUUUCUAGAAUAGAACAAGAUCAUAAUUAAGGAGAAGAAAGUCUGCUGCGAUGGAAAUAGCUACCUGACAAAUCUCCAAGAAGCCUUGGAAAAGAAGAGAAUGACAAGUACAACAAAAAUCCAGGCUCAUAACCUACAAAAAUUUGUAGAAGCAAGGGGUGAGUACCAAACCACACGGUACUCAGCAAGUAAACCUCUAAACACAGGAUAAGGGGAUGAAAUACGGGUACUCCUACCACCCCCAACUGAACCUCCACAACUACAACCUGCAUUAAAAUCAACCCAACCUAACAGCUCACAGUCUACAUAGCACGUAUCUCAACAACAACACUUAGACAAAUUACAUAUCCUCAACAACAACACUUCAACAAAUUACAUAUCCGCUAUAACAAGCUCAAUAUUAAUCAAUCACAAGUUCAACAGAAAGGCAAUCAGAAGAUCAGCAAAACACGAUAUCAAAUUCACUAAUGAUAAGUAUGUGCAAUGCAAUGGAAUGCAAUGUCAAGUAUAAGGAUGCAUGUCUGACCUAGUGAUGCACACCCGCUGUCUGUCAGUUCGGGACCCAAGGGGGACAUAUCUGUCCAUGCAUCUGUCGCGGCGCACGACACGACCCUCGAUAAUAGUAACCAUCGCAGCGCGCGAUACGUCCCUCGAAAUAUAGUAUCCAUCGCGGCGUGCGAUACGUCCCUCGAAAUAUAGUAUCCAUCGCGGCGCGCGAUACGUCCCUCGAAAAUGUACAUCUUCUUAAGUACUCAUUCUUUCUCAAUGCACAUAACACUUGUCACAACCAAUGCCUCAUAAUAAUGCAGAUGACAAGUUCACAAAAAUAAUGAGGAGAUGACCAUUUUCAUAACAUUGCACAAUUCAAAACCACACAAACAUGAAAUCACAUUAACAAUGAUUCAACAAUCCUUCAUCCCUUUCUGAACACAUCACACUUAAAUAAUUAAUUACAUUGCCCUUUUUUUAUCCCUUUUUUUUCAUCAUUAGAUUAACCAAUGUGGACAAGUGAACCCAUCACCAAUCUCGUUACUCCCAAAUAUAUACCACAAGAAAAUACACGCAUUUCAUACACUUAACAAGAGUUUAGAAAUCCACUUGCCUUAACCAAUCGAGAAUUCACUCCGAGACUUGGGUUUUCCCCUUUUGCUGAACUUCCAACUCAAGCAAUCUAUUGACAUCAAUAAUCACGAUAAGAUUGUGAAGCUUACAACACCAAAAUUAAUAUUUAAGUUUUCAAAUAUCGAUGUUAUUUAGUAUGUUAAUUCUUAUAUUUUUCCAAAUUUUAAGUCUAGGGGUAAGUCUCAAUUCCUCCAGUUUGAUGAAUUUAAUUAUAUUCAUAUAAUAUAAUGCACAUACAACCUAACAACAUAUCCCAUCAUCUCAAAAUUUGAACCAUAACAAAGUUAUAAUUAAUAAAAAUAAAUUAUAGAGCACUCGGACCUAAUUACGAAAAUCGGCAUUUACUUAUGUAAAUAUAACAAUCUGCAUAUUCAUAUAACCUAUAAUUUUCCCCACCCUUAUCCUCUAAUCAUUGGCAUAUAAUUAGUCUCAACCAAUUAUAAUAAUAUUACAAAUAUCUAAUGUUAUAUAAUAAUAAUAAUAAUAAUAAUAAUAAUAAUAAUAAUAAUAACAAUAAUAAGAAUAAGAAUAAGAAUAGUACCAACACUAAAUUUUUCCAAAAUAGUUGUAACAAUAUAAUAAAAGAAAUGCCCAAAUUAUUAUCAAGUUACAUACAGUAACUUAAAUGGAGAAAAUCAAACACCUGAACCCCUUUCCAUACGUAUAAACCUCUUGAGCAUUGUUUUUUUUUUAUUUUAAUACCUCGAAUGAAAAAGAAUUUGGUCAUCAAUUAAUGACGACUUUUAGAUCUUAUCCCCACCAAAACUUCCAAAACAAAUUGCUAGACUCCUUCCGAUUUCCUUAUUUAACAAGCAUAUUAUAAAACAUAAUAUUAGAUUAGCUACUUAUCGAUUCAAAUAAACAUAGAAACAAAUUCUUAUCGAAGAGCAUUUACUGCUCACUCCCUUUUUUUUAUUUAUUUUACUCACAUAACUCAAUCAACUGGAUAACAAUAAUAUGAUUUGGACUAGUAUAAAGAUUUAAGAGUAAUUACUAAUUACCUGAAGAAAAAUUCAUUUUUUUCCAACCACCGGAAGAAGACGUUAUUCUCGCCCAACCCUUUUCUAGUUUUUUUUCCUCGGCGGCUGCGUGAAUUGAUUCUCUCCACUACAACCAUCAACAUUGCCCUUAUAUUGUUUUUUUUAUUAUUUAUUUAUUUUUCUUUUCUAUUAUUAUUAGCAACAAAAUAAUCUUUGGUUAAAUAUGAAAAUAAUUUCACCCAUUCUUAUAAGUCAUAAUUUAUUUAUAAAAAUUAUUAAAAAUUAUUAAUAUAAG